UACGAGGGGGGCGAGCGUUGUUCGGAAUUACUGGGCGUAAAGAGUGUGUAGGCGGUGCUCUAAGUUUGGUGUGAAAUCUCCCGGCUCAACUGGGAGGGUGCGCCGAAAACUGGAAUGCUUGAACGUGGGAGAGGAAAGCGGAAUUCCUGGUGUAGCGGUGAAAUGCGUAGAUAUCAGGAGGAACACCUGCGGUGUAGACGGCUUUCUGGACCAUUGUUGACGCUGAGACACGAAAGCGUGGGUAGCAAACAGG
rnacentral:rRNA from 1 species